rnacentral:rRNA from 1 species
UACGGAGGGGACUAGCGUUGUUCGGAAUUACUGGGCGUAAAGCGCACGUAGGCGGAUUUGUAAGUCAGGGGUGAAAUCCCGGGGCUCAACCUCGGAACUGCCUUUGAUACUGCAAAUCUCGAGUCCGGAAGAGGUGAGUGGAGUUCCUAGUGUAGAGGUGAAAUUCGUAGAUAUUAGGAAGAACACCAGUGGCGAAGGCGGCUCACUGGUCCGGUACUGACGCUGAGGUGCGAAAGCGUGGGGGAGCAAACAGG